UUUACCAAGACAUUGUACUUGGUAGAGAGUCAGCGAAAAACAGGAACACCCUGAAUGGAAUGGACUGACACAGUGGCUGCAACAAUGGGCUCAAACAUAGCAAUAAUUCUGAAGAUGUCACAGGAUGGGACAGUGUUCUGUUCUGUUGUACAUAGGGUUGCUAUGAGUCAGAACCAACUAGACGGCAGGCACCUAACAAGAUUCACCACUAUGAACUCAGUGUCUAGCACAGUGCCUGACUUCAAUGAAAAGUGCAAUAAAUAUCUGUGAAAUAAAGAAAAAAUGGAAAAAGUAGUUAAUUUGGAGUAGGGAUAUAAAUUAUGAAUAUGUACAUUAGCACAACUAUGAAAUAUUUGUCUUUCUAUGACUUUGAUUUCACAAAUACUACAUUUAACCAGAUAUACUAGUGACUAGCUGGAUUCUACCAUACAGAAUAAAUUUUGGCUCUUAGCUGCAUUUUACAUCUUCAAUGGACAGAAUAUAAUAGUACCAAAUAUAUAAAAUGGGUUGUAUGAGGAGAUGUCACUGAGUAGGGUUGGUUUGACAUCUCUGUGUUUAGAAGCCUUAAUUUUGAUCUAUCCCUGGUAGACUGAAUGGAAUGAAUUAAUGUAAGUGAAGAUGGAGAGUAGAGUGGAUGGGUUUAAACAUGCAAAUAUAGACUCAGCCUUUUAAAAGACCAGGUCAUUAGUCAGACCUGCUCACACUGGGAAGCUUUUUGCCUGUGAUAAGCACUGUUAAAAGGAUGUGGUUCUAUUCCAUGAAAGCGUUGUAUGAUAAUUUUUGAAAUGUCAGAAUGAAUUUAGUGGAAUUUCACAACUCAAAUGUCACCUAAAAAAGCGAGAAUUACAUGAAAUUACUUAAGGAAACAGUUUGAAAAGGAAGAUCUACUGACUGUGGGCAAUUCAGAUGCAUUUACAAAAAAUUGCAUAGUCCCAAAUCAGAAAGGAAGCUCUUGAGGCAGCGUGCUCUUUUAGUGUGUUAAAGAAACCCAUGUCACAGUAAGGCAUUUCUGUCAUUUAAAGGAGCUGAAGAGCUGAUGAGGAGCUAGGACGUCCCUGAGUUUCUUUUCUUUGAUCAUUUUCUGGCCGGCAUAGAAGAUAUAUCAUGACGCUGAGAACAAUAUUACUGGAAAGACAAAUUGAAGUAUUUCAACAGCAGGCAUCUACAGAAGAUUUUGCUCAGAGACUAUGACCAGCUCACAUCAAGCAUUGUUGUUCUUUAUGAACAGCUUGAGAGAAAACUUGCAGAAAGCCUGCAAAAGCUGUAAGGCCAGUGAAUUCACACACCAUCUAGCAUCUUUACUGUAAGUAUACGUGUGUGUUUUAUUCUGUUAAAUGAUAUAUCACAGAAAAAUUACAUAAUUCUUCAAGGUGCCUUCCCUUAAAGCGAAGUUCCUUUGCCUUGCCUCUUAGAAAAACAUAAAAACUAAGAUAAAAUUGAGAAAGUUUGUUUGAUACCACAGGUUGCAUUGUUUAGCAUAAAGUUGUGAACAGGCCUUAAUGAAAUAAAUUCCAUCUAUGAAUCUUUCAGUUUCUAAAAGUUUUAAAAUGAUUAUCUAUCUCUAAAAAAAUAGUACAUGUUUGUAUUUUUAUUUCAUUUAAAGACUCACAUUAAGUAAAAUGACUUAUCAUUGGCUUUUGUUGAUUUAGGACUGAGUUGAGUAUUGAAAGGUAAUUAUGGAGAAACAGCUAUAAUUUGGGGGUUAGUUACCUUGCUUUAAGACUGCAGGUAAUUGUUAGGACAGAGAUCUAUAAAAUGGAAGCAUAAACAAGAAAAAGUAAUGAAGAAAAGAAUAUCAUUAUAAAUAAUUAUUUACUAUGUAUGUUUUUUGGGGCUUUAGGUGAAAGUUUACAGAGAAAGUUAAUUUCUCAUUAAAUAAUUAAUACACGUAUUGUUUUGUGACAUUGGUUGCCAACCCCAAUACAUGUCAACACUCUCCUCUUUUAGACCUUGGGUUCUCCAUUUCAAGCUUUCCUGUCCCCUUCUGCCUUCUUGUCCUUGCCCCUGGGCUGGUGUG